GAUGAACGCUAGCGACAGGCUUAACACAUGCAAGUCGAGGGGCAGCACGGGAGUAGCAAUACAACUGGUGGCGACCGGCGCACGGGUGAGUAACGCGUAUGCAACCUACCUAUCAGAGGGGAAUAACCCGGCGAAAGUCGGACUAAUACCGCAUAAAACAGGGGCACCGCAUGGUGAUAUUUGUUAAAGAGAUUCGCUGAUAGAUGGGCAUGCGUUCCAUUAGGUAGUUGGUGAGGUAACGGCUCACCAAGCCGACGAUGGAUAGGGGAACUGAGAGGUUGGUCCCCCACACUGGUACUGAGACACGGACCAGACUCCUACGGGAGGCAGCAGUGAGGAAUAUUGGUCAAUGGGCGGGAGCCUGAACCAGCCAAGUCGCGUGAAGGAAGAAGGAUCUAUGGUUCGUAAACUUCUUUUGCAGGGGAAUAAAGUGCAGGACGUGUCCUGUUUUGUAUGUACCCUGAGAAUAAGGAUCGGCUAACUCCGUGCCAGCCGCCGCCGUAA
rnacentral:rRNA from 1 species